GGCGGCUCAGAAGAUAAACGAGGGGCUGGAACACCUCGCCAAAGCAGAGAAAUACCUGAAAACUGGUUUUUUAAAAUGGAAGCCAGAUUAUGACAGUGCCGCUUCUGAAUAUGGAAAAGCAGCUGUUGCUUUUAAAAAUGCCAAACAGUUUGAGCAAGCAAAAGAUGCCUGCCUGAGGGAAGCUGUUGCCCAUGAAAAUAAUAGGGCGUAUCUUUUUCAACUUUUAAAAAGAAAUUAAACAAUUAGAUGAUUUUGACAAGCUGUUUUCUCUUGCUGUAAAUUUACUUUACUACCUGUGAAGUAAAAUGUUUUUAAAUUAGAAAAUGAUUAGAAAAAUUCUGUAUUUUUAAACUAUGAAGGAGCGUUUAUAAUGAAGUUUGAUUAUAAGGUCCACACUGGUUCGCAGAGCUACAAUACUUACUUUCUAUUGUUUGUGAUUUUACUUGAUGAUGGUUUUACUUGGGAUGAAGUAAAGUAAAUCUGUAGACAUGUGCUGAAGAAUGAAGAAGUAGCACAGGUAUUGAAAACACGUGAACUACUGUAUCAAUUUUUUUAAAUACAGUUUUCCUUAGGUAUUUGAAAUAAAAAUUAUAAGUAGUUUAAAACAGUACAUUUUCUUGAGGUGUUUGCAAACUUAUCAAUAAAAAAUGUUUCUCUUAUUUGCAAACUGUAGUCAUAAUAACUUUGUACUUCAGUAAAACUUCAGAUUAUUGCGUAAUAGAAAUAGUUUAAAAUCUGUGCAG
rnacentral:lncRNA from 1 species